rnacentral:rRNA from 1 species
UACGUAGGGUGCGAGCGUUGUCCGGAAUUAUUGGGCGUAAAGAGCUCGUAGGCGGUUUGUCACGUCUGCUGUGAAAUCCCGAGGCUCAACUCCGGAUCUGCGGUGGGUACGGGCAGACUAGAGUGAUGUAGGGGAGACUGGAAUUCCUGGUGUAGCGGUGAAAUGCGCAGAUAUCAGGAGGAACACCAACGGCGAAGGCAGCACUCUGGGCCGGAACUGACGCUGAGGAGCGAAAGCGUGGUAGCGAACAGG